rnacentral:rRNA from 1 species
AACGAACGCUGGCGGCAUGUCUAACACAUGCAAGUCGAACGCCCUCUUCGGCGGGAGUGGCGCACGGGUGCGUAACGCGUGGGAACCCGCCCUUAGGUUCGGAGUAACUCAGAGAAAUUUGAGCUAAUACCGGAUAAUGUCUUCGGACCAAAGAUUUAUCGCCUGUGGAUGGGCGCAGGUAGGAUUAGGUAGUGGGUGGGGUAAAGGCCUACCAAGCCGACGAUCCUUAGCUGGUCUGAGAGGAUGAUCAGCCACACUGGGACUGAGACACGGCCCAGACUCCUACGGGAGGCAGCAGUGGGGAAUAUUGGACAAUGGGCGAAAGCCUGAUCCAGCAAUGCCGCGUGAGUGAUGAAGGCCUUAGGGUUGCAAAGCUCUUUUACCAGGGAUGAUAAUGACAGUACCUGGAGAAUAAGCUCCGGCUAACUCCGUGCCAGCCGCCGCCGUAAUAC